rnacentral:tRNA from 1 species
AAAGGGAGACCUAAUUCGGGUAUAAGACGAAAAAAUAGUAGUCGAAACCAAGAAUCAAUCCCAAAAGGUCGGAACGAGGUAUGAGGCUUUCAAACUAGGUUCUGGGUUCAUAAAAGACCUGAAUCAGGAACAAGGGCUAUUAGCUCAGGUGGUUAGAGCGCACCCCUGAUAAGGGUGAGGUCCCUGGUUCGAGUCCAGGAUGGCCCACCUGCACAGGUGGCAAAAACAAGAGAAGCGAGGAAUCAGCACCUUAUCUUAUAUACAUAUAUAAGAGAGAAUGCUGGCUCUGAGUACAGAGUCCAGAGGAACCUUGAAAACUGCAUAGAGCUAGGUGAAAAAGCCAAAAAAGAAGACCGCAAG